rnacentral:rRNA from 1 species
UACGGAGGGUGCAAGCGUUGUUCGGAAUCAUUGGGCGUAAAGCGCGUGUAGGCGGCCGGGUAAGUCUGAUGUGAAAGCCCGGGGCUCAACCCCGGAAGUGCAUUGGAUACUGCCUGGCUAGAGGGCGAGAGAGGAAAGUGGAAUUCCUGGUGUAGGGGUGAAAUCCGUAGAUAUCAGGAGGAACAUCAGUGGCGAAGGCGACUUUCUGGCUCGUUACUGACGCUGAGACGCGAAAGCGUGGGGAGCAAACAGG